rnacentral:rRNA from 1 species
GGAAACGGUAGCUAAUACCGCAUAACGUCGCAAGACCAAAGAGGGGGACCUUCGGGCCUCUUGCCAUCGGAUGUGCCCAGAUGGGAUUAGCUAGUAGGUGGGGUAACGGCUCACCAAGGCGACGAUCCCUAGCUGGUCUGAGAGGAUGACCAGCCACACUGGAACUGAGACACGGUCCAGACUCCUACGGGAGGCAGCAGUGGGGAAUAUUGCACAAUGGGCGCAAGCCUGAUGCAGCCAUGCCGCGUGUAUGAAGAAGGCCUUCGGGUUGUAAAGUACUUUCAGCGGGGAGGAAGGGAGUAAAGUUAAUACCUUUGCUCAUUGACGUUACCCGCAGAAGAAGCACCGGCUAACUCCGUGCCAGCAGCCGCGGUAAUACGGAGGGUGCAAGCGUUAAUCGGAAUUACUGGGCGUAAAGCGCACGCAGGCGGUUUGUUAAGUCAGAUGUGAAAUCCCCGGGCUCAACCUGGGAACUGCAUCUGAUACUGGCAAGCUUGAGUCUCGUAGAGGGGGGUAGAAUUCCAGGUGUAGCGGUGAAAUGCGUAGAGAUCUGGAGGAAUACCGGUGGCGAAGGCGGCCCCCUGGACGAAGA